AGUGAACGCUGGCGGCAGGCCUAAUACAUGCAAGUCGAACGGCAGCACAGCAGAGCUUGCUCUGUGGGUGGCGAGUGGCGGACGGGUGAGGAAUACAUGGGAAUCUGCCCAGUCGUGGGGGAUAACGUAUGGAAACGUACGCUAAUACCGCAUGCGCCCUACGGGGGAAAGUCGGGGACCGCAAGGCCUGACGCGAUUGGAUGAGCCCAUGUUCGAUUAGCUAGUUGGCGGGGUAAAGGCCCACCAAGGCGACGAUCGAUAGCUGGUCUGAGAGGAUGAUCAGCCACACUGGAACUGAGACACGGUCCAGACUCCUACGGGAGGCAGCAGUAGGGAAUAUUGGACAAUGGGGGCAACCCUGAUCCAGCCAUGCCGCGUGAGUGAAGAAGGCCCUCGGGUUGUAAAGCUCUUUUGUCCGGAAAGAAAAGCAAUCGGUUAAUGCCCGGUUGUUCUGACGGUACCGGAAGAAUAAGCACCGGCUAACUUCGUGCC
rnacentral:rRNA from 1 species